CUGAGUGGUUCAGUGGUAGAAUGCUCGCCUGCUACGCGGGCGGCCCGGGUUCGAUUUCCGGUCGGUGCAG
rnacentral:tRNA from 1 species